CCUACGGGAGGCAGCAGUGGGGGAUAUUGCACAAUGGGGGAAACCCUGAUGCAGCGACGCCGCGUGAGUGAAGAAGUAUUUCGGUAUGUAAAGCUCUAUCAGCAGGGAAGAAAAUGACAGUACCUGACUAAGAAGCCCCGGCUAACUACGUGCCAGCAGCCGCGGUAAUACGUAGGGGGCAAGCGUUAUCCGGAUUUACUGGGUGUAAAGGGAGCGUAGACGGCUGAGUAAGUCUGGAGUGAAAGCCCGGGGCCCAACCCCGGGACUGCUUUGGAAACUGUGUAACUAGAGUACAGGAGGGGCAGGCGGAAUUCCUGGUGUAGCGGUGAAAUGCGUAGAUAUCAGGAGGAACACCGGCGGCGAAGGCGGCCUGCUGGACGAUAACUGACGGUGAGGCGCGAAAGCGUGGGGAGCAAACAGGAUUAGAUACCCUUGUAGUC
rnacentral:rRNA from 1 species